rnacentral:rRNA from 1 species
UACGUAGGGUGCGAGCGUUAAUCGGAAUUACUGGGCGUAAAGCGUGCGCAGGCGGUUCGCCAAGUCAGGUGUGAAAUCCCCGGGCUUAACCUGGGAAUUGCGCUUGAAACUAGCGGGCUUGAGUGUGGCAGAGGGGGGUGGAAUUCCACGUGUAGCGGUGGAAUGCGCAGAUAUCAGGAGGAACACCUAUAGCGAAGGCAGCUUGCUGGGACGUUACUGACGCUAAGGCGCGAAAGCGUGGGGAGCGAACAGG